CCUGAGUAGCUAGGAUGACAGGUGUGCAUCACUGACCUCCCUCCCCGGCUAUUUUUUUAAAUAAAAAUUUAAAGUUUUUUUUUUUUUGCCAUACUCUAAAAGAAUCACUACAAAGAUGAACUACAUGAUUAGGGCUUUAUCCACCUGCAAAGACCCCUCUGGGAGAUGCCCGCAGCUCGGGGCUGGGCGCUUCCAGACUCCCGUUCCUGACAGGGGCCUGGCCCAGGCCGUAUUUACCAGC